AGAGUUUGAUCAUGGCUCAGGAUGAACGCUAGCGGCAGGCUUAAUACAUGCAAGUCGAGGGGCAGCAUAGGUAGCAAUACUUGAUGGCGACCGGCAAACGGGUGCGGAACACGUACAGAACCUUCCUUCGAGCGGGGAAUAGCCCGGAGAAAUCCGGAUUAAUACCCCAUAGUAAAUUAGAAAGGCAUCUUUUUAAUUUUAAAGAUUUAUCACUUGAAGAUGGCUGUGCGCCUGAUUAGGUAGUUGGCGGGGUAACGGCCCACCAAGCCUUCGAUCAGUAACUGGUGUGAGAGCACGACCAGUCACACGGGCACUGAGACACGGGCCCGACUCCUACGGGAGGCAGCAGUAAGGAAUAUUGGUCAAUGGACGCAAGUCUGAACCAGCCAUGCCGCGUGGAGGAUGAAGGUCCUCUGGAUUGUAAACUUCUUUUAUUUGGGAAGAAAUGCAUUUUUUCUAAAGUGCUUGACGGUACCAGAUGAAUAAGCACCGGCUAACUCCGUGCCAGCAGCCGCGGUAAUACGGAGGGUGCAAGCGUUAUCCGGAUUUACUGGGUUUAAAGGGUGCGCAGGCGGAUAUGUAAGUCAGUGGUGAAAUCUUUGGGCUUAACCCGAAAAUUGCCAUUGAUACUAUAUAUCUUGAAUGCUGUGGAGGUAAGCGGAAUAUGUCAUGUAGCGGUGAAAUGCUUAGAUAUGACAUAGAACACCUAUUGCGAAGGCAGCUUACUACGCAGAGAUUGACGCUCAUGCACGAAAGCGUGGGGAUCAAACAGGAUUAGAUACCCUAGUAGUCC
rnacentral:rRNA from 1 species